AUUGAACGCUGGCGGCAUGCCUUACACAUGCAAGUCGAACGGCAGCGGGGGAGAAGCUUGCUUUUCCUGCCGGCGAGUGGCGAACGGGUGAGUAAUACAUUGGAACGUGCCCUGUAGUGGGGGAUAACUAGUCGAAAGAUUAGCUAAUACCGCAUACGACCUGAGGGUGAAAGUGGGGGACCGCAAGGCCUCAUGCUAUAGGAGCGGCCGACGUCUGAUUAGCUAGUUGGUGGGGUAAAGGCCUACCAAGGCGACGAUCAGUAGCUGGUCUGAGGGGACGGUCAGCCACACUGGGACUGAGACACGGCCCAGACUCCUACGGGAGGCAGCAGUGGGGAAUUUUGGACAAUGGGCGAAAGCCUGAUCCAGCAAUGCCGCGUGUGUGAAGAAGGCCUUCGGGUUGUAAAGCACUUUUGUCCGGAAAGAAAUGGCUCUGGUUAAUACCUGGGGUCGAUGACGGUACCGGAAGAAUAAGGACCGGCUAACUACGUGCCAGCCGCCGCGGUAA
rnacentral:rRNA from 1 species